GCAGUAGUAGCUCAGUGUCAGAGCAUCGGUCUUGUAAACCGAACGUCGAAGGUUAAAAUCCCUCCUGCCGCU
rnacentral:tRNA from 1 species